GUGGGGAAUUUUUCGCAAUGGGCGCAAGCCUGACGAAGCAACGCCGCGUGGAGGAUGAAGGCCUUCGGGUCGUAAACUCCUGUCGACUGGGACGAAAGUAGCUUGGCCUAAUACGCCAGGCUAUCGACUGUACCGGUGGAGGAAGCCACGGCUAACUCUGUGCCAGCAGCCGCGGUAAUACAGAGGUGGCAAGCGUUGUUCGGAAUUACUGGGCGUAAAGGGCGCGUAGGCGGUCUUGCAAGUCCCGUGUGAAAUCCCCCGGCUCAACUGGGGAAUGGCACGGGAAACUGCUUGGCUUGAGUUCGGGAGAGGGAAGCGGAAUUCCGGGUGUAGCGGUGAAAUGCGUAGAUAUCCGGAGGAACACCGGUGGCGAAGGCGGCUUCCUGGACCGACACUGACGCUAAGGCGCGAAAGCUAGGGGAGCAAACGGGAUUAGAUACCCUGGUAGUCC
rnacentral:rRNA from 1 species